UACGAAGGGGGCUAGCGUUGUUCGGAAUCACUGGGCGUAAAGCGCACGUAGGCGGAUUGUUAAGUCGGGGGUGAAAUCCUGAGGCUCAACCUCAGAACUGCCUUCGAUACUGGCAAUCUCGAGUCCGGAAGAGGUUGGUGGAACAGCUAGUGUAGAGGUGAAAUUCGUAGAUAUUAGCUAGAACACCAGUGGCGAAGGCGGCCAACUGGUCCGGUACUGACGGCUGAGGUGCGAAAGCGUGGGGAGCAAACAGG
rnacentral:rRNA from 1 species